ACAGCAACACCUCACUCAUGGUAUCCACUUCUUAUGGUUGUUAUUGCUGUAGACUAUUCAGAACAGCUGCCCACACCUAAUUCCCUCUGCGAUGGACUCAAAAGGCCACAAGAAGCUCGGCCGACAUAAGAAAAACAAAAUCAAGAACCAGGAGAGAUUGAUCAAGAAGUUUCCUUACAGGUUACCUCAUUUGACGGAGCCUAGCCCAGAAUCCACACAAUCUUGGAAGGCCAAGAGCAAAUCACUGAAGGACAAGCUGCCCUUACAGAAGAAUCUGGUGCCAACCAGGUCCAUCCCCAUGCCAGGCUGCCUCAGAGACAUUUGUAAAGGGAGCAGCCUUGGAGACCACCAGAAACCAGAAGUGGUCCAUCCCACCACAGGUAAAGACCAUACAGCACCAAUAAACUUUGCAUGUUCAAGUUC
rnacentral:lncRNA from 1 species